AGUGAACGCUGGCGGUAGGCCUAACACAUGCAAGUCGAACGGCAGCACAGUAAGAGCUUGCUCUUACGGGUGGCGAGUGACGGACGGGUGAGGAAUACAUCGGAAUCUACUUUUUCGUGGGGGAUAACGUAGGGAAACUUACGCUAAUACCGCAUACGACCUACGGGUGAAAGCAGGGGAUCUUCGGACCUUGCGCAAUUGAAUGAGCCGAUGUCGGAUUAGCUAGUUGGCGGGGUAAAGGCCCACCAAGGCGACGAUCCGUAGCUGGUCUGAGAGGAUGAUCAGCCACACUGGAACUGGGACACGGUCAAGACUCCUACGGGAGGCAGCAGUGGGGAAUAUUGGACAAUGGGCGCAAGCCUGAUCCAGCCAUACCGCGUGGGUGAAGAAGGCCUUCGGGUUGUAAAGCCCUUUUGUUGGGAAAGAAAAGCAGCAGGUUAAUACCCCGCUGUUCUGACGGUACCCAAAGAAUAAGCACCGGCUAACUUCGUG
rnacentral:rRNA from 1 species